rnacentral:lncRNA from 1 species
UUUUCUAGGUCCUGUGAUCUUAUUACAACCUACUGAGUGACAACUAAGUGAGGACUCAUUAGCUGGCUCUAAUCCAACUGAUAUGUGCCUCCUAGCAGACAGCAUCUUCAGCUUAACUUUGGGUGUUCUGCAGGGAGGAUAAAGAGAAGCCUCAGGGAAAUACACUCCUUAGGUAUGACAGCCUGGUUCUGAAGAUUGCUGCAGUCUGGAGUCUAGUAUUUGCGAACCCAAGAGAGCCAAGAAAGGGUCCUUUACUUAAAGCUGCAAGAAGAAGGAAAAUAAAAACCCCAAAGUUAAGUAUCACCAUCCAGCUGGCACAUGUGCUCAGGCCACAACUGGCUUUGGCAAGUCCCCAUCCUCGAGGCCUCCAGUGGCUCUGAAAUUCUCACCACAAGAAAAUCAUGGGUUUUAAGACACAAGAAUUAAAGAACACAUUGAUGUAAUUUUGGUGCAUGAGCAUUUAGAGAAAUGUGUGUUUGUCUUUGAAGGUUGGCUAACUUUGGAAAUUCUUCAGACCUGUAAUGGGGCUAUUUGCCCGGGAGUUGGUUCUACUGUUCCUGAAGAGACGGCAAUAUUAACCAUCCCCAAAGUGCAGCAUUGAGCCUUUCCCCUUCCCACUACCCCAUACUCAGGAGGAGCAAUCUAUGCCCAAAUUUCUUUUUAAAAUUAGAAGUAUCUCUCUGUAUAUAAACUGAUCGCCUAGAGUCUUAAUCAGAAAGUAAAACUAGUUCUUAAAUUUUCUUGGAGGAAUUUUGCUCAAGUGAUUGUAUUAUUUCUGCUUGAAUAACUCCUUACAAAGGAAAUUCUUAAGCUAUUUUUCCAGAUAAUAGAGUCAAAAUUAGUUUCUUUCUAAU